UACGUAGGGAGCAAGCGUUGUUCGGAUUUACUGGGCGUAAAGGGCGCGUAGGCGGCGCGGUAAGUCACUUGUGAAAUCUCUGAGCUUAACUCAGAACGGCCAAGUGAUACUGCAGUGCUAGAGUGCAGAAGGGGCAAUCGGAAUUCUUGGUGUAGCGGUGAAAUGCGUAGAUAUCAGGAGGAACACCGGUGGCGAAGGCGCCACUCUGGGCCGAAACUAACGCUGAGGAGCGAAAGCGUGGGUAGCAAACAGG
rnacentral:rRNA from 1 species